GAUGAACGCUGGCGGCGUGCCUAAUACAUGCAAGUCGAGCGAACGGACGAGAAGCUUGCUUCUCUGAUGUUAGCGGCGGACGGGUGAGUAACACGUGGAUAACCUACCUAUAAGACUGGGAUAACUUCGGGAAACCGGAGCUAAUACCGGAUAAUAUUUUGAACCGCAUGGUUCAAAAGUGAAAGACGGUCUUGCUGUCACUUAUAGAUGGAUCCGCGCUGCAUUAGCUAGUUGGUAAGGUAACGGCUUACCAAGGCAACGAUGCAUAGCCGACCUGAGAGGGUGGUCGGCCACACUGGAACUGAGACACGGUCCAGACUCCUACGGGAGGCAGCAGUAGGGAAUCUUCCGCGAUGGGCGAAAGCCUGACGGAGCAACACCGCGUGAGUGAUGAAGGUCUUCGGAUCGUAAAACUCUGUUAUUAGGGAAGAACAUAUGUGUAUGUAACUGUGCACAUCUUGACGGUACCUAAUCAGAAAGCCACGGCUAACUACGUG
rnacentral:rRNA from 1 species